CAGCAGAGAGGAGCUGAGCCCUGCACAGACUGCUGAGGCGCACAUUCUCCGCGUCCACGGUGCGCGCUCCAGCGCGCAACCACUGAACUUCCUGAACCAGAUUGGCUUCGUUGCCCUUUCUCGGUUACUAAAUAUUAGUGAGGAUGUGGCCUGAGCAGAGAGUCCAAUGUGCUGUGAGGAGUCCCGUGUGUCACGUUCGUGGGAUCUUUCUGCUUCUCCUGCUUGUCAUGGUUCAAAUGAUGAUCUCCUUGGUGCCUUUUGAUGGUGUGUUCAUUCGCUCCGAUAAAGUCCUCAUCAGCCCCUACAGAUUCUGUCAGAUCCAACAAACUGGUGAAUGGUCCUGUGAUAAUGUGCAUAAGAGUCACCUGUACGAGCUAUCGCAAUCCCAAGGAGCUGAAGCUGAGACUUUAUCUAAGCCACAUUCUAACUCUGUCAGAGUAGCGGUUUACCUAGCCGUGUAUGUUCCAGUGAUUAUUGUGGCGUUUGCCCUGAUGGGCAUGCAUUCAGUCAUCUCUGACAAAGACGAACCUGCUAUCUUUUGCAGCACAACUUUCCAGGUUGGAGCAGCCUUUCUCAGCCUGGCUGGCCUUUGUAGUUUUUUGUUUGUCUAUCAGUCAUAUGUGAGCUGGCAAAACAUAACCAUUUGGUUCUAUAUCUAUUUGGGUGUGGUGAUGGAGCUGGCUAUCACAUCUGCACUGACCCAUGUGUCAGGUAAGCGACUGAGAUCACACUGGGAACGCAGCGAAAUGCUUAAGCUCAUCCCUGCUUAAAUGCAAACAUGAGCCACAGACUGUGCAGUUUAAAAAAGCGAUUAAUGUUAUGAUCAUAUCACAAAGACCUUUGAGUGGUCCGUAAAAGUAGAAAAGUGCUAUAUUAAUGCAAUUACACACGAAUCUGCUUUGGAGAAUAUGUUAAUUGCUGUCAUGAUGUAUUUAAUGAUAAGCUGUAUCCCUCAACAUGUUUAACGUGUCUUUUGGUGCUGUAAUAUCACUUUGUAUCACUUUAUCAAGUGGUUUAUGAAAGCCAAGACACAUAAUGUAUAACACAACAAAAAAUCUGUUGAGUCUGAAAUGUGCAGCUGGUGGAUGCGUGAGUGGUACCCUAAUUGUGCUGAUAGUUAUUUCUAUAUAAGCUAUAAGGAAUAAAGAAUAUAUUUAUUUUUCAAA